CCUACGGGAGGCAGCAGUGAGGAAUAUUGGUCAAUGGACGAGAGUCUGAACCAGCCAAGUAGCGUGAAGGAUGACUGCCCUAUGGGUUGUAAACUUCUUUUAUAGGGGAAUAAAAUGUGCCACGUGUGGGAUUUUGUAUGUACCAUAUGAAUAAGGAUCGGCUAACUCCGUGCCAGCAGCCGCGGUAAUACGGAGGUUCCGAGCGUUAUCCGGAGUUAGUGGGUUUCAAGGGAGCGUCGGUGGCUUGUUAAGUCAGUUGUGAAAGUUUGCGGCUCCACCGUAAAAUUGCAGUUGAAACUGGCAGUCUUGAGUACAGUCGAGGUGGGCGGCAUUCGUGGUGUAGCGGUG
rnacentral:rRNA from 1 species